AGAACGAACGCUGGCGGCGUGGAUAAGACAUGCAAGUCGAACGACGAUUAUGGGGUAGCAAUAUUCUAUGAUUUGAGUGGCGUAAGGGUGCGUAACACGUGGGCAAUCUACCGUAAAACUGGGGAUAACUCGCUGAAAGGCGAGCUAAUACCGAAUGUGAUCCAGGGGAGCAUCUCGCUUGGAUUAAAGCUGGGGACCGCAAGGCCGGCGCUUUACGUAUGAGCCUCGCGGCCUAUCAGCUAGUUGGGUGGGUAACGGGCUCACCAAGGCUAAGACGGGUAGCUGGUCGUGAGAGGACGACCAGCCACACUGGAACUGAGACACGGUCCACGACACCGUACGGGUGGCAGCAGUCGAGAAUUUUUCUC
rnacentral:rRNA from 1 species